rnacentral:misc_RNA from 1 species
GUGAAUCAUCAAAUUUUUGAACGCAAAUUGCACUUUCUGGUAUUCCGGAAAGUAUGCCUGUUUGAGGGUCAGUUAAAUAAAAAUCGGUGUUGUUGCUGCUUUUCGUGUUGACGUGUCGGAAUUUAGUUUUCUUACCUUCGGUUAAGUAACUUAAAAUUAUGCAUGAUUGUCGAACGUAUUUAAAUUUCUUACGUACGUUUGUGAUAUCGAAGACUUUAUUAGGUUCGGUCAUACUCAUGAUUCGCACCUAUAAUUUUUCAUUAUAUGACCUCAAAUCAGAUCAGAAUACCAGCUAAAAUUA